rnacentral:lncRNA from 1 species
GCUCACUGGCGUGCCAGUUCUGAACUGGCUUAUCCGGGUCGCAGAGCAACUGUCGCCCGCCGGCACCAGCCCACCACACCUUUGCGCCUGGGGGAGCCCGGUGGUCCUCCCCUGCUGACUGACACUGCAGAGCCCCUGCCAGCACCCAUGGGAGGCUGGCACCUCGCCCAGCUCAGAAAGGGACUCCUUGCUCCUGGGUCUGGCUUCACAACCCCCCAUCGAGUCAACUCUACAGAAGAGUUCUUUCCUUGUCUUUGUCCUGAAAAUGGGAAGCAGGAAGUAGGAGUCUGGUGCUUCCUUGCACACUGGGCCAGCCUGCUUGUGUCUGCAGAAGCUUCCCUGAGGAAGAGGAGGCCACAGCAAGGACUGUGACCUUGAAAAGGAAACGAAACUAAGAAUCUUCAAGCAACACUUCAGUGAUUGGAUUGCUCUUGCCAUUUCUCAGGAGGCCUUGGAUGGGAAGGCUUCCCGUGGACUCCAGAGGGUGAGCAACCGUAAGCAACAUGUCUCCUCCGUCGGGGCUGGAAGACUUUGCAGCCCUGUAGGCAGUGACAGGAUUUCUGUUAACACAAGUACAUGGAUCGGCUGGUUUUAUUUCUCCGUUUGCUCCCUCAUCCAGUUAUGGCCAAAUGAAGAUUUAUGGGGAACUGAUCCAAAUGCCCACACACGGAGAAAGGAAUAAACCGAUGAGAUCUACUCGUACCAUGACACAUUUGGCCACGUGAGGGAGAAACAUGACCUGCUGCAGCACCGGUGAAGCUAGGGGACACGGUGCUGAGUGGGAGCAGCCGGUCACAGAGCACUGCAUACUGUUCCGCUGGUGUGAGACGCCCACAGCAGGGUGUCCACGCAGGGAGAAAGUAGCUGAGCAGUAGCUUAGGGAUGGGGAAAAAGAGGCAGACGAUGCCAAAAAUGUGGGGCUUGCU